rnacentral:rRNA from 1 species
GACGAACGCUGGCGGUGUGCUUAACACAUGCAAGUCGAACGGUAAGGCCCUUUCGGGGGUGCACGAGUGGCGAACGGGUGAGUAACACGUGAGUAACCUGCCCUCCUCUCUGGGAUAACAGUCGGAAACGGUUGCUAAUACUGGAUAUGCGCUUGCUAGGCGUCUUGUGGGUUGGAAAGAUUUUUUUGGUUGGGGAUGGACUCGCGGCCUAUCAGCUUGUUGGUGAGGUUGUGGCUCACCAAGGCUGCGACGGGUAGGCGGCCUGAGAGGGGGACCGGACACAUUGGGGCUGAGAUACGGCCCAAGCUCCGACGGGAGGCAGCAGUGGGGAAUAUGGCACAAGGGACGGAAGUCUGAGGCAGCAGCGCCGCGUGGGGGAGGAAGGCCCUCGGGUUGUAAACGGCUGUCAAUUGUGACGGAGCUUGGUGUGACGGUAGCAGUAGAAGAAGCACCGGCUAACUACGUG